UACGCUGCCAUCCAUAGGGAAUAAUCCUCUCAUGUCUUUCCAGACCAAAUGGGGGAGGAAAAAAUAGAUACCCCUCAGAGAUAAAAAGUCUAACAAGACACUUGCAAGCCACAUGCAUACCUACUACAUGAAGGCCCCAGGCCUGUAGGACUGUUGCUCGAAUAGUGCAUGCACAUUGUGCGAUGCCAGCCCUGUCUGCACGCGAUGUGACGCGCUCAAAGGGCCUACCUGCGUGCGAUAAAACAUGCGCGCAGGUUUGGCCCCCACCUCACACUGAUGGGACAUUCACACUUUGUGCAUAUCCUGCGCCUGUCACGCGUGCACAGUGCAUGGUGGCCAUGCAGGUAAUCCCUCUCCCGCGGGAGUUUUCCCGCAUGAUUU
rnacentral:lncRNA from 1 species